rnacentral:rRNA from 1 species
GAUGAACGCUGGCGAGAUGCCUUAUACAUGCAAGUCGUACGAGAUUAAACUCAAGUGGCGGACGGGUGAGUAACACGUAAGAAUUUACCUUUAGGAGGGGGAUAACAAUUGGAAAUGAUUGCUAAUACCCCAUAUGCUUUUGAGUGAAAUGGAUUUUUCCGCCUAAAGAGAAGCUUGCGGCUGAUUAGCUUGUUGGUGAGGUAAUAGCUCACCAAGGCGACGAUCAGUAUCUGGUUUGAGAGGACGAUCAGACACACUGGAACUGAGACACGGUCCAGACUCCUACGGGAGGCAGCAGUAGGGAAUUUUCCGCAAUGGGCGAAAGCCUGACGGAGCAAUCUCGCGUGAGGGAUGACGGCCUAUGGGUUGU